AUGCAUUUCCUGUGGACUCUUUGAUACUUCAAGCCCCUCUCGCAUUAGCAUUCUGAAGAAAAAAAAACUUACUUUAGUAGGGUAAGGCGUUCACUUUCCACAAAUGAAUGGAAUUUGGACAUUGUUUUACUUAAGCUUAAAGCAGCUUUUUAUGAGUUUGUAGCAAUCCGGUGCGGUAUCUGAGCCAUUCUUGUUGAAAAUGGCUUCUGUAGAAAACUAACAACUCAGUUAUUUAAACUAGCAGGAUCCUACGAUGAUACAUCUAGUGAAAGGAAGACUAACUUAUUUGUCUCUAUUUUGUUUCACGAGAGAAGAACUUUUGUCUUGUUGCAGCUGCUUUUUCUUUAGUUGUGGAACUUUGCAUGGAGUCUUGUUUCCUGUUGGAAGACUGAGAGGUGGAGAUUUGGACUUGAGGCUUUUACAGGGUUAACACACCAUUAGCUUUGCACUGCUGUUAUUUGCAGGUCUGUGGGGCAGUGCUUUGCUGCAGCUUUUGGUUUCCAUUCCCCCCAGUUGAUGCUUUAGUACUGUAGAUACACAUACACAGGCUACUUGUCCAAGUAAAGUCAUCAGAAGUAAAUCAAGUGCCUAAGUCCUCCAGCUAAUGUACUAGGUAUUGAUUUCCCCAAGCUAUACAUGAAACAAUUUUCAACGAUUUUGAGAGGUUAUGCACUAAUAUAACAGCAAUUUUGGGGUUUCUUCUUUUUCGUUUUUUCAUUAAUAGUUCUCAACUUGGAGAUUAUAGGAUCCAGAUGACUUGGCAAAAAGUAUCAGGUGCUCUUGGCUUUCCUUUGAAAACCCUGUAUCUAGUGUUUGCACUGACUAACAAGAUGGUAUUGCUGUUUUUUGUACUGUUUUGUUUUAAUUUAAACUAAAUAUUGGGAAUUUAAGGUGGUUGUAAUUACCUUUGUUAAAUGUUGUUAAUCAUAAUCUUGUAUUCAGGUUUAAUUUUUGUUUAUUCAGUGGCAACUUAUUUUCAAAGACCUUGAAAAUACAAUGAGAUAGCAUUAUCUGACCUUCAGAGUGCUGAAAACUGUAUGAAUUUAUGCCCUGUUAAGAGGUGACUGAGAAUCAUGUUAGACAUGUCAACUGAAAAUUGGUUUUCAUAAAUACACAUGAACUAGAGCCCUGGGCAUAUUUUGAGAAGCUUAAAAAUCCACUUUUUUUCUUUUAAGAAAGCAGGACUCUCCUUCCUGAUGAUUACUAUCUUCUUGUUUGUCCUCUUACUUUUCUUUGUGACAAGUUUUACAUUUUUUUAUGUUUUUAUUAACUUCUGUGAAGUUGUUUACUCUGAAAAUUGUACUGGAAUAUUUUAAGCCAAGCUGAUCUUUCACCAGGUGUACUGCAUGUAAGGGCUUUUCCUGCUAGCAAAAUGCUUAAAGAGGAUCAUGUUACUGGUCGUCUGAGUUGUUAUUUUACAAAAUCACAGCUAUGUGGUCGGGUAAGAUUUUGAUAACUGUUUUGUGCACGCUUCUGGGGGGUGGGGGUUGGCAUUUCCCUGAGGGUUACUGAUUAGACUAAGUAAAUAUUGGUGUUUGAUAUCUCUCCUAAUGAAGCUGUCCAUUAAAUAAUUAUGUUGUAAAUAUACCUGCAAAUCCAAGGGUUAGUUUUGAUAUUCUGGUGUCAGUAUGGAAGAUCUUACACAUCUAUUUAAUACUCCAAUGUCAAGGAAUGUAUGUAGAAAAACAGUCAAGUAGUCUUUUCUUAGUUUCCUUUGGCUGUUGCUGUACCUUCUCCAGCCAGUGCCACCUCACUCUAGGGUUAGACUGAUGCUUCUUUCACUCGCUACGUGAAGUGAAUGGAUACAAGAACCAGACCACCUUUGUCACCUUAACUUAUUUCCUAUUGAUGUUAACUUUAACUUAGAAUGUUAGACAUAAAUAUGAUUGUUGUAUAUUUUAUACCAAGACCAUUCUGUAAAUAUGAAUUUAUAUUACUUUUGAAAUGCUUCUGAGAUACUAUUAUUUGCUGUACAAUGUAAUUCCAAAACAGAUAUGCAAACAAGUAUGUCUCUUUCAUGGAUAUUUAAACAGUGAGAUCUUCCAUGUUGAAGGUGAUGUAAUUUUUUUAAAAGAUUUUUAAAUUUUAAAUUGCUAUUUUGUUACAAAAAUAGAGAAAAUAUAAAGGUUUGAGAAGUCCUUAUUUGCCCUCAGGGAAAGAGCCCUCUGUGCACCAGAACUCCACAGAACAUCUUCAGCAUGAUCUGAGGGUGAAUAUAUACUACAUAAAUUGAUUGUGUAUCUACCUUAACCUUUUAAUUUUAAAAUGGCAAUUUUAAAAACUUGGUUGUGCUCUGCUGGAGGGGGUUGGGAUAAGCUGCUUACACACAUUUGCCUGUUUGUCCAGUGAAAUGACAUAAGCCUGACAUAUUCCUGCCAAGGUCUUGGCAUAUUUAAGAACAAAUGUAUCUCUAGACUCUUGUCUGCAGCAGGAGGUCCCGUGAUAGAGCAGUUCUCUAGGGUUGACCGUACACUUCUUAUGGAAAGUUGGUUCUUAACUGAGGCUAGAGUUUUCUAGUUGAAUUUUUAACCUAUAUUGACAGGCAAAAUAAUUAUUUGGGGGUUUAACAGCAUGCUGGCUUUGUCUUACGGUUUUAACACUGACUGUGUGGUUUUUGCCAUGAAACUAAUGCCCUCCAGUGCCCUGACAGGGAGAAGCAGCUGCAGGUGGGAAUGCCUGGCUCUGGCUUCCUUCUUUGUUGAAGUUUCAGCCCUUGACCCUUUACAAACAAGUAUGUAUUCAUUUGUUAGUUGUAAAUCAGGUGCCUUUGGGCUAUGGAAGGGCUUAUUUUCUGACACUGAGAGAGUGACUUACCUUUGUGUGUCAAUAGCAGUGAUGCCCAUUUAGGUUUUGGCCUAAUUUACUGUGCUGUCAGAAAAGAAGGCCCAGAGCAGAUCGGGGAAAGAGAUUGGCUCUUUUGCUUUGCUUGGACAAGCAUUUUGGGUUGGUUUGGUUUGGUUAAUUUUAAUUUUUUUUUCCCCACUAGGGGUACAGCAGGGAUUUCACAUGCAAGAGAGACAGGAAUUAUUAGUAUCUAAGUUAAUAGUGUUGCCUCACUACCUGGAUUCAUUCCUUGGUUUGCCUCAUUUCCCACAUAGGUCUUAAUAGAGACUAAUGCUUGUGCUGGGAGAAUGCUUGUGUGAGAAAGUAACUAUCUGUACAUUCUUAACAUAUACUUAGAGCAGAGUGAUUGCCCUGCUACUGAUAUUUUGUUCCUGUAAACAGGUGACAAGAAAUGAAUCUUAGUGUUUAUGCAGAUUUUGCAUUGUAGAAUGUAUACUAGACCCUUCAAAGGCAAGGUUAGACUCUUUGCAAAGCAAACUGGCGUUGGUUCUUGGUAGUCUAGUACAGGGACACUAAAGUUUGACAUUUGAUUUAGGAAAAAGAAAACAGUUGUACACAGCUGAUUAUGUUAAAUAAGCUCUUAAUUAAGCUCUUUGUAGAAGUCUUAAUUUGGAAGGUUUUAGUGCUUUGGUAACUCAAUUGAAAUUUUAAUUUUUCCUGUACUCAAGAGCUGAAUGCUGUUCUUGUAUAAUAGUGUACUAGGCUGGAUGAGGUACAAAAUAAUGCACAGUGGUCAGAAACAGCUGAGGAAAGAACGCUUAAAAUAACUCAAUCUAAACUCAGAAUAGUUCCAAACAUUGGUUUUGUUUGCUUUUUUAAAGCACAAGUUGUCAAGUUGUACCUGUUGCUGUACAUAAACACUGUAUGCCAGCAGCUCCUUGAUCAUGUUUGUGAACAGACUUUUCAUUAAUUAUUAGACUGGUAUUAAAGGAAGGUGUUGAAUUUGAGAGUGUAACAAAAUGAGAAGUGAUCAGAUGAUCUAUAGGAUGUAAAAGUCAAUUUUUAUGUUGUAGUUUAAUCCCUUUAUUAGGAAGUUCCCUCUCAUUGAGGGACCUCUUCUGCAAGCAGAACACAAUAAAUGUGCUUUUUUAAAUGACCCAAUUUCCCAGUAUAAAUGAGCAGCUGACUUUGGCAGUAGUCAUCUCCCUGCAUCUCUCUGCUGGCAAGGGAGCAGGACAAGGAGGGGAAACAACCCCUAAAACUGUCACUGAUGAGAUGAAACAGAUUUCAAUAAUCAAAGUGCCCAAUGCCCAAACAUAAUUCUACACCCCAUUCUUUAAGGAUGCUUGUGGAAGCUUUUAGUCACUCAAGAUUUUGCUGUAAAAGCUGAAAUAAAGCAGAGCCUGGCUGCGUUUCUUACUGCCAAAAGCCAAGGUCAUUUGCACAUAGCCCAUGGAUUUCUCCAGAGUAGAUCUCCGUUACCCAAGGCAUGGGAAUGCAUGCGUUUUCUUAGCUGGGCAAACAAGUACAUUAUACAGUAGUUGUGAUACAACACACGUGGCUUUGAUUUGUACUGCACAUACCCACUGUACAGCCACUCCGAAGUAUUGUGGUUAGCUUGCAGCAUCUGCUGUCGCAUUGAUACUGUUUACUGCGUAUUCUUUUCCCUGGAAGUUUUAAAGAAAAUUUUUUUUUCUUGUUGCAUUGAUUACAUUUUAUAAAUUUGCUUAGCUGGAAAGUUUGGGAAAAGAGGCCUGUUUGUCAAUUGUACAACCGAUUGUGAAGCUCUAGUGUGAAUAUUUUUACGUCUGUAUUAGACAUUUUCUUUGCAAAUCUAUUGUUCGAUUGAAAUGUAAAUGAAAUAAAAGAUGGUGUACACCCAUCAUGUAUAAAGCAGGCACCAUCGCUACGAUGGAUUUAAUGCUCAUUUUUAUGGCGCAUUCUCAGCUUCUAUUUAAAACUAUAAUUUAAAGAAAAAAAAAAUCUGUAAAAUGAAAUGGGGAUAUAUGGGGGAGUAAAUUCUAUUCCGUUUAUUUCGGUUUUGAUUCCCAAUGGUAAUGUUUCCCUUCGUGUUAGAGUAGGGGGGCCCCGGCGGGGCCCGUGUGUCGCUGUAGCACUGACGUGCAGAGGUUGUAGCUUUGGCUGGGCACGGAUAGAGCAUCCCGGUUCGGUGUUUGAGAGACUCGAUGGAAGAAGUUUGCAGUAUUGACAUGUAUUUGCAUGCACGAAUAAAAAUUAUUUGUCCACCU